CUAGACCUGAAAUCAGCCGAGGAUACCCGCUGAAUUUAAGCAUAUUAUUAAGCGGAGGAAAAGAAAAUAACUAUGAUUCCCUUAGUAACGGCGAGUGAAGAGGGAGGUGCUCAAAGUGRAAAUCGUGAUACCUCUUAUUGGUACCGCGAGUUGUAGCCUCUAGAGGCGGCU
rnacentral:rRNA from 1 species